rnacentral:lncRNA from 1 species
CACAGCUGACGCAGCGUCUCCGCACGUGGCCCGCUGGCCACGUUCAGUCGCUGAGUGCUUAUGAGCAGUGCUUCUCUGUGUGAACGGCAAGACUUCCUGUUGUCACACUACUGCCCAUGGUCUUCAGACUCGGGAGGAUGGGAGUUUGUUCCUGGCUUCUUGUUUAUUCCUCUACUGGAGGUUUGUUUGUCUGUCACACUGAGGGACUUUAGUACAAAUUAGGAACAAGGCAG